rnacentral:rRNA from 1 species
GAUGAACGCUGGCGGCGUGCCUAAUACAUGCAAGUCGAGCGAACGGACGAGAAGUUUGCUUCUCUGAUGUUAGCGGCGGACGGGUGAGUAACACGUGGAUAACCUACCUAUAAGACUGGGAUAACUUCGGGAAACCGGAGCUAAUACCGGAUAAUAUUUUGAACCUCAUGGUUCAAAAGUGAAAGACGGUCUUGCUGUCACUUAUAGAUGGAUCCUCGCUGCAUUAGCUAGUUGGUAAGGUAACGGCUUACCAAGGCAACGAUGCAUAGCCGACCUGAGAGGGUGAUCGGCCACACUGGAACUGAGACACGGUCCAGACUCCUACGGGAGGCAGCAGUAGGGAAUCUUCCGCAAUGGGCGAAAGCCUGACGGAGCAACGCCGCGUGAGUGAUGAAGGUCUUCGGAUCGUAAAACUCUGUUAUUAGGGAAGAACAUAUGUGUAAGUAACUGUGCACAUCUUGACGGUACCUAAUCAGAAAGCCACGGCUAACUACGUG